rfam:Gossypium hirsutum cultivar TM-1 chromosome 17, whole genome shotgun sequence
UGUUAAAAAUUUCAUCCAAUUCUACUAUUAAAAAUUGGCGUGGUUGAUGGUAUAACCAGACAAUUACACACAGUGUAUCAUGUGUACCUCAUGCAAACGUAUAGGAACCAAUUUUAAAUAGUAGAAAUGGAUAGAAUUUUUAACA